rnacentral:tRNA from 1 species
AUUUAUAUAGUUUAACAAAAACAUUACUUUUUCAUUGUAAAAUUAAAUUUUUAUUUUAUAAAUA